AACGAACGCUGGCGGCAGGCCUAACACAUGCAAGUCGAGCGCACCUUCGGGUGAGCGGCGGACGGGUUAGUAACGCGUGGGAAUAUGCCCUUCACUACGGAAUAGCCUCGGGAAACUGAGAGUAAUACCGUAUACGCCCUUCGGGGGAAAGAUUUAUCGGUGAAGGAUUAGCCCGCGUCUGAUUAGAUAGUUGGUGGGGUAACGGCCUACCAAGUCUACGAUCAGUAGCUGGUUUGAGAGGAUGAUCAGCAACACUGGGACUGGGACACGGCCCAGACUCCUACGGGAGGCAGCAGUGGGGAAUCUUAGACAAUGGGCGCAAGCCUGAUCUAGCCAUGCCGCGUGAGUGACGAAGGCCUUAGGGUCGUAAAGCUCUCUCGCCAGAGAUGAUAAUGACAGUAUCUGGUAAAGAAACCCCGGCUAACUCCGUGCCAGCAGCCGCGGUAAUACGGAGGGGGUUAGCGUUGUUCGGAAUUACUGGGCGUAAAGCGUACGUAGGCGGAUUGGAAAGUUGGGGGUGAAAUCCCGGGGCUCAACCCCGGAACUGCCUCCAAAACUAUCAGUCUAGAGUUCGAGAGAGGUGAGUGGAAUUCCAAGUGUAGAGGUGAAAUUCGUAGAUAUUUGGAGGAACACCAGUGGCGAAGGCGGCUCACUGGCUCGAUACUGACGCUGAGGUACGAAAGUGUGGGGAGCAAACAGGAUUAGAUACCCUGGUAGUCCACACCGUAAACGAUGAAUGCCAGACGUCGGGGGGCUUGCCCUUCGGUGUCACACCUAACGGAUUAAGCAUUCCGCCUGGGGAGUACGGUCGCAAGAUUA
rnacentral:rRNA from 1 species